rfam:Micromonas sp. RCC299 chloroplast, complete genome.
GAUAUAAGUAGAGUGGUUGCAAGAUCAGAUGAUCUUGAGGAAAGUCCGAACUCUCACGACGAUGUACCAUAAUACGAGAAUUUCGUAUACAUUCAUUUGGGAGGAAAGUGCCACAGAAAUUAAACUUGCUUUAAUAUUUUUAAAGUGGAGGUGUAAUAUUUCAACAUUUGUAAGAAUGUUUGUUGGUAGACCCUUAUGGAGAGCAAAAGAAUAUAAAUCUCAAUGACAUCUCUUGGGAUUAAAAUCUUGCUAGAAAAUUUCAAUAAUGAAAUUUCCAGAUAAAUAACCACAAAACAGAAUUCGGCUUAUCUAUUUAUAUCGUUU